CAUGAAAUUACUUAUGAUUAUGCAUCGGAAUAUACCAUGAUUGGUUAGGAGCUCCAGGCUUGGAAGUUUGCGGGAUGCAAAGGAGAUAGCUAUUUCCCAUGAUUGAGAGGCAUUGGUUUCACGCAAACAGACCACCCGAAGUGUCUUUUCCUUUCAUGUUUAGACUUGUUCUCUUUGCCCUUCCUUUGUUUUUUUUUGUAAUUAGUUUUGUACCUGUUUCUGCUUCUUAAGUAAUGAAAGUAGCGCUGCUACAUUUCGUCAAAAACUUAUGCAUCGGAAUAUACCGAUGUGUUGAGUGAACAAUGCUGUUCAAAGUUUAGAAUGCUUGAGAAAUCUCAAAUUUUCUUGUCCAUCGUUCAGUGAGUGAACAUUUUACCGGAACUCAUCCACUGAGGCAAAAUGAAUCGGAAUAUACAGAUGUGUUGGGUGAACAGUCUGUUCGGAGUUUAGAAUGUUUG
rnacentral:lncRNA from 1 species